AAAAAAGAUCAAGUGUCCUCUCUUGAAAGACUGGCAGUGAAUUUGUGGCGAAGCUAUCACAUAAAAGUACAGCUACUGCUCCUAAAGAUGUUAGCCUCACGUUUGAGUGCCUUGAAUCAGGUCUGCACAUCGUCGACGACACAGCAGCUGCAGAAGCGUUUGGGCGAACUGUUGCCUACUUAACGCCCUCUCAUCAGUCUGGUAAGACCCCGCUAGAAAUUUGCCGAACGUUCGACUGUUUGAAAUCAGGUGCUUACAUCCCCAACAACAUUGAUACCGCAGUGGGUCCUUGCAAGGACUUUUAUCAGUUCGCGUGCGGACGCUGGAUUAAGGAGAAUCCAAUACCCAAAAGUUCCACAGGUUCCAAAGGAUUUGCUAAAACAGAUUUGGCUAGUUUCGUAACUAAAGAAACUG